rnacentral:ncRNA from 1 species
AAUGCACACCGCGGGAGCUCGGAGCACCGGGCUGAGAGGGCGCUGACGGAUCCGGAUCCGGACCGAGGCUGCGCCGACCGCCGAACCUGUUACCGGGUAAUGCCGGCGUAGGGAGUGGGUCUCCAUGACCGU